rnacentral:misc_RNA from 1 species
AAAACACAACUGGUCCUUCAGAACCAGCCAUAUAAACGCGGAAGACAUCAUUGGAUACUGGAACUGUGACAUCAUCUUCUUUGUCAAAGUAAUCUGACCAUUGCAGAGGUAUGUAGUUUUGGAGUGAAUUCCGGGAUGCGGGACGGGGAGGGAUCGCCGCCGGCGAGAAGACGGAUGGGGCGUCGGGCUGCUGCUCGUCGGCGACGUCUUCG